GGCUGAAGUAGGUCCCAAGGGUAUGGCUGUUCGCCAUUUAAAGUGGUACGCGAGCUGGGUUUAGAACGUCGUGAGACAGUUCGGUCCCUAUCUGCCGUGGGCGCUGGAGAACUGAGGGGGGCUGCUCCUAGUACGAGAGGACCGGAGUGGACGCAUCACUGGUGUUCGGGUUGUCAUGCCAAUGGCACUGCCCGGUAGCUAAAUGCGGAAGAGAUAAGUGCUGAAAGCAUCUAAGCACGAAACUUGCCCCGAGAUGAGUUCUCCCUGAGACUUAGAGUCUCCUGAAGGAACGUUGAAGACGACGACGUUGAUAGGCCGGGUGUGUAAGCGCAGCGAUGCGUUGAGCUAACCGGUACUAAUGAACCGUGAGGCUUAACCUUACAACGCCGAAG
rnacentral:rRNA from 2 species